GACGAACGCUGGCGGCGUGCCUAAUACAUGCAAGUCGAACGCAGUGGGGCCGGGUGAUUAACACGUGGGUAACCUCCCAUCAGAUGGGAUAACCCUUGGCAACAGGUGCUAAACCGCUACUGAUGGAUGGACCCGCGGUGCAUUAGCUAGUUGGUGAGUUAACGGCGCACCAAGGCCACGAUGCAUAGCCGACCGGAGAGGGUGAUCGGCAACACGGUGACGGAGACACGGCCCAGACUCCGACGGGAGGCAGCAGUAGGGAAUCUGCGGCAAUGGACGAAAGUCUGACCGAGAAACGCCGCGGGAGUGAAGAAGGUUUUCGGAUCGUAAAACUCUGUUGUUAGAGAAGCGGUAUCUAACCAGAAAGCCACGGCUAACUCCGUGCCAGCAGCCGCGGUAAUAC
rnacentral:rRNA from 1 species